GACGAACGCUGGCGGCGUGCUUAACACAUGCAAGUCGAACGAAAAGAGGGAAAGAGCUUGCUCUUUCCGGAAUUGAGUGGCAAACGGGUGAGUAACACGUAAACAACCUGCCUUCAGGAUGGGGACAACAGACGGAAACGACUGCUAAUACCGAAUAAGUUCCAAGGGCCGCAUGGCCCAUGGAAGAAAAGGUGGCCUCUACCUGUAAGCUAUCGCCUGAAGAGGGGUUUGCGUCUGAUUAGCUGGUUGGAGGGGUAACGGCCCACCAAGGCGACGAUCAGUAGCCGGUCUGAGAGGAUGAACGGCCACACUGGAACUGAGACACGGUCCAGACUCCUACGGGAGGCAGCAGUGGGGAAUCUUCCGCAAUGGGCGAAAGCCUGACGGAGCAACGCCGCGUGAGUGAUGACGGCCUACGGGUUGUAAAACUCUGUGAUCCGGGACGAAAAGGCAGAGUGCGAAGAACAAACUGCAUUGACGGUACCGGAAAAGCAAGCCACGGCUAACUACGUG
rnacentral:rRNA from 1 species